CCAGCAACAUACGAUAACCUUUGGGCUGUUACAUUAAGUUGAAAUAAGUGUUUAUAGAAAGCGGCAUCAUGGUGUGUGCAGUGGUACUAUUUGUGGUCGUGGCCAUUGCAGUUUUAAUUAUAACAAAACUAUUAAAACCCAACGAACUUUGGCGACAAGGUGGCACAACAAUAAGAACCAUUAGCAAAGAUCUAAGGAUUGCAUGGAUCCUCUUAAGGAUUAAGUUACUUCACCGUAAGCUGUGUAGAGACAACGUGGCGGUUUACACCAAAUUUUGCAAAAUUGCAAGGAAGUAUCCGCAAAAAACUGCAUUUAUUUACGAGAGCGAAACGUGGACCUUUUCAGAUGCACUAAACCUUUCCAACAAAGUUGCAAAUUAUUUCAAGGCACGAGGAUACGUAAAGGGCCAUUGCGUGGCUUUAAUGUUAGAAAACUGUCCGGAUUACCCUUGCAUAUGGAUGGGAAUAUCCAAACUGGGGGUAACGAUAUCACUAAUUAAUAUAAACUUAGUUAAGCAUUCUUUGGCACAGUGUAUUAGAGCUGCCAAUUGCAGAGGAUUGAUAUUUGAUUCAAAUUUAUGUAACGCUAUUGAAGAUGUAGCGGGUGAGUUUGCCCAAUUGGAUCUAUUCGAAUACGAUCGCAAUACCGCUAGAAAUGUUAAAUAUAUUAAUCUUAAACGUGAAAUUAACAACUUCUCGACAGAAGAUACUUCAGGAUUCCCUAAAAUUACAGGGCACGAUACUUUGAUGUAGAUUUACACUUCGGGUACGACCGGAGUUCCCAAACCCGUGGUUAUUUCAAAUACUAGAUUCUUAACAUUCGCGUGUUUUGUAAACGUUGUAAUUCCGAAAAUGACAGACGUUAUAGCGUAUUGUCCCAUGCCUCUCUAUCAUUCCUCGGGAUGUGGAAGCAUGGCUCUAACGGUAGCAGGUGGUGCAACCCUUGUAUUGAAAAGAAAGUUUUCUGCCAAAAACUAUUGGAGUGACUGCUCCAACUUUCAAUGCAACUUAGCUAUAUACAUUGGUGAAAUGUGUCGAUAUAUAUUAUCCGUACCGCAGAAUGACGUUAUCAAGCAUAAUGUAAAAUACAUCGUCGGAACUGGUUUACAACGUCAUAUAUGGAAAACGUACAUUGAGAAAUUCCAAAUUAAAAACGUCUACGAGUUUUAUGGAUCAACUGAAGGAAAUGUUCAACUCGUUAAUCUUGAUAAUAAGGUAGGAAGCGUUGGUUACAUUCCUAACUUCUUGAAAAGCCUCAUGGGAAUAUUUCUCAUAAAAUACGAUCCGAAUACCGGAGAACCCAUACGGGAUAAUAAUGGCAGAUGUAUUAAGUGUAGUCCAAAUGAACCUGGCCUGGUAAUUGGAAAAAUUAGAUCAAAAGUGGCAGUGGAUGGCUUUGCGCGCUAUUUAGAUAUAGAUGCUAGUGAGAAAAAAAUACUUUGGGAUGUCUUUGUCAUGGGUGACAAAUAUUUUAUUACGGGAGAUGUGCUGGUUUGCGACGAGUUGGGUUACUUUUACUUUCAAGAUCGAAUAGGCGAUACCUUUCGAUGGAAAGGGGAGAACGUUUCCACAGCUGAAGUCGAGGACAUAAUAUGGAAAACCACAAAAUUAAAUCAAGUUAAUGUGUACGGGGUUGAGAUACCCGGAGCUGAAGGACGGAUAGGUAUGGCAGCUAUACUAGGCAAUGACGAUAAGUCACAGCUAAACAUCUUGGCAAAGGAAUUCAAAUCAAAUCUUCCAUCAUACGCAAUACCUGCCUUUAUAAGGGUUCUAGAGUCUUUUCCGAUAACAGGAACGUAUAAAUUAAAGAAACUGGAACUACAGAAAGAGGGAUUCAAUAUCAAUGUGAUUAAGGACAAAGUUUACAUUUUGAGUUCGGGGAAAUAUAUUCCAUUGACCAAAGAAAUUUACAAUGACGUGAUAAAUCAUAGAUUAAGAUUAUGAUUUUGCAAUGGCUAUAGCUCAAUGAUAACAGCCGUUAAAUACUUAUACAUAUGUGCAUUUAUUUUUUAAGUCAUUUUAAAAUGAUAUACAAAAGUUCAUUGUUAGUUGGAAAAAUCCGGUUUAUUUAUCUUGAUCAUACUAUCGUGUAGUGACCGCUUCAUUAAUUGCCUUUAGUGCCUCAUCCGUUUAGACAGAUGAGUUUUUGUAACUGGCUUGCUGCGGCCUUUCUUUCAAAAAUGUAGUGUAUAUUGCUUCAAAAAUAACUUUGAAGAUUAAAAAUAUUUUUCCAAACAUUUGAUUUAAACAUGAAUAUAUUGUCCUAUUGUCUUGAAGCCGAAUGCAAUAUUGAAUUCAUAUACAGUGUGUCCCAGGUAGAACGCACAAUAGGGAAACGGCAAUGUAUUUUUUCGCGAGCGAUCCACGAGGCCUUUGAAAUCGUUCAACGUACUAUUCCAAUCAAGAAAAAAUAAGCGUUCUAAUGACGUAUCGCAUGAUCCAUGUCGCCGUUAAAGAUUUAAAAUGGCGGUCGAACUCAAAAAUCGUGGCAAAAAAAUUUUUUUAGUCUCAAGAUAUGUGAAAUGAUUUCAAAUGGAAGCGUUUUAAUUGUCUUGUCUAUAUCUCAAAUGGUUUGAGCGUCUGUGCUUUGGUUCUAUCUUUAAUACCGGCCCUUUAUAUCAAGAUACAUAAAAAGGGCAAACGGAUUACUCGGGUUUCAAUUGCUCGUUUUCACACGUUACUAAGAAAAUAGGAUUGGCUGCAUAUGUACUCCUGCAAAAAUUUGAAGAAAAAAAAUAUCUAUCAAAUGAGCCUAAUGGAAAGGUGCACUGCCAUUACAAAAAAAAAAUUGUUUUUCGUUACGUUUUUCUGAAAUAAAAACAACUAAUGCUGACUUAUCAUGGGAAAUAUAAUGUUAAACAACUAUCAUAUAGAAAAAUUUUGUAUACAUUCGAUCUUUACUGAAAUAUACUAUAUUCCA